GACGUAGGGCGCGAGCGUUGUCCGGAUUUAUUGGGCGUAAAGAGCUCAUAGGCGGCUUGUUGCGUCGACUGUGAAAACCCGCGGCUUAACUGCGGGCUUGCAGUUGAUACGGGCAGGCUAGAGUUCGGUAGGGGAGACUGGAAUUCCUGGUGUAGCGGUGAAAUGCGCAGAUAUCAGGAGGAACACCGGUGGCGAAGGCGGGUCUCUGGGCCGAUACUGACGCUGAGGAGCGAAAGCGUGGGGAGCGAACAGG
rnacentral:rRNA from 1 species